UGUUCUGGCUUUUCUGUGUGAUGGAGUGUCAGAGAGCAGCCUGUUGUGGCAUACUGGAAAAAGACCAAAUACAAGCUGUCAAGAAAGGCACCAGCACUCGUGUUUGCUGCUCCCACCUGUCAACUGGAAACACUGGGUGCUGAGGUGGAACAAGGCAUCGUCUUGCAAAUGCCUGGUCUGCUGUGCCUGAUGCCCUGCUGCAUAAUGCAGCCACCCAGGACCAGAAUCACCUGGUAACUCAGGAACAUGGCAGUAUCUUCAGUUAGAGAUGACUAUGAUUUUUGGAAGACUCUCUUCAUGUGAGUAUCUCUUCCAGCUUCCAAUAUGCAGAGCAUCACUGCUCUGAGGAAAGCUGGUAAGAAUGGGGUUUCAAUCCCUGAAAAAGCCCGAGGUACUUAGAUUUUUUUAAAUGUAUGCAAUAACUAGAAAAGUAAUUUCCUUUAAGUAAAACUUAUUGUUAGGUUGAA